GGCAUUCACAUGCCGAGUUUACCAUUUGAAGACCAACAUUAUGACACUUGCAGAGUUACAUUGGUAGAGGCUUUCCAAGAAGCAGCUAAAUAGAGAAAAAUUGCCACUAACAAGGAGAAAGGGCUUUCAACUGAUACCAAACUCAACCGAUUUCCGGUGAAACUGUACUAUCAAGAUAUCCACCAAUCGGAGGACCUGGAGCUGGAGGCAGCAAGGGGGAAGUGAGUCCUUGCUGUCAUGCCACAGAGGAUAAAAGACCAAAGCCCUCCAGACAUUCAGAGAAUGUGGUCUUCUCUCCUCUUCUGAGGCAUGUGGUUUAGGAAAAGAUACAGGAGUGACACAAUAAAAAGGAGCUGAGAACACCAAAAAUUCUGAUGCAAACCAUGUGGUGGUAAGAAGGAACUGGAAAGGCUUUGGCCCACAUCGCCCUUUAUGACCUUGGUUGGGAGCAUAAGGAGAGCUACUGCACGUGUGCAAGCCAAUGGACAAUGCCUACAAGAAAUUCCGGACACAGGCGCAUGAUGCACAUGCAUAUCCCACAUAUGGCUACACAUA